rnacentral:rRNA from 3 species
AAAUUGAAGAGUUUGAUCAUGGCUCAGAUUGAACGCUGGCGGCAGGCCUAACACAUGCAAGUCGAACGGUAGCACAGAGAGCUUG